rnacentral:tRNA from 1 species
GGUGCGGUACGCCAACGGCUGAGCGGCUGGUCUUAGGAACCAGUGUCUGCGAGUUCGAAUCUCGCCCGCACUA